rnacentral:rRNA from 1 species
CGGGGAAAGGUAAACGAAAUAAUAACUAAGGGUAAAAAUCCCCCAGAGGAUUACCUUAGGGAAUCCGAACCGAAAGCCCAAUUUAACGGGAACCAAGGUACCGAACGCUUGAAAAUCCGAAAAGCCUUGGGGGAACCAAACAAGGAUUAAGAAUACCCCCUGUUAUUCCGGCGCCCUUAACGGAUGAAAUGUUUAAUUCCUUUGGUAAGAAUAGAUCUAUCAGUGAUGCCAGUUAACACAUUAAACAUUCCGCCUGGGGAGUACGGUCGCAAGAUUAAAACUCAAAGGAAUAGACCGGGGACCCCGCACAAGUGGUGGAGCAUCGGUUUAAUUCGAAGAUACCGAAGAACCUUACCUGGCCUUGACAUCCCAAGAAUCUUCCAGAGAUGGAGGAGUGCCCUUUUUUUGGGGAACUUGGUGACAGGUGCUGCACGGCUGUCGUCAGCUCGUGUCGUGAGAUGUUGGGUUAAGUCCCGCAACGAGCGCAACCCUCAUAUUUAGUUGUUAACAGAUUGUGCUGAACACUCUAAAUAGACUGCCUGGGUAACCAGGAGGAAGGUGAGGACGACGUCGAGUCAUCAUGGUCCUUACGGCCAGGGCGACACACGUGCUACAAUGGCUAGGACAAUGAGAGGCAAUACCGUGAGGUGGAGCAAAUCUGUAAACCUAAUCUCAGUUCGGAUUGUAGUCUGCAACUCGACUACAUGAAGCUGGAAUCACUAGUAAUCGUAGAUCAGCCAUGCUACGGUGAAUACGUUCCCGGGUCUUGUACUCACCGCCCGUCACACCAUGGGAGUUGAGUUCACCCGAAGCGGGGAUGUUAAAUUGACUACCUGCCACGGUGGGCUCAGCGACUGGGGUGAAGUCGUAACAAGGUAACCGUAGGAGAACCUGCGGCUG